ensembl:lncRNA
AAUAGUGCAUCUACUAUUGUUUUAUUUCCAUUCACAGUUCAAAUGUUAUUUCACAGAGGCACAUACAUAACCAUAUUUUUGGAUCAUUGUUAUGUUCAGCUGAAGUAUUUAGGAUUUAGUGACGUAAGGAUGCAACCUAUUAGCAAGACAGAUUUUCGAACUGGAAAUCAGAAAGGCUCAUCAGGUAACACUGUCAGUUCUUACUACUGUUCAACAAGGUGGUUAUGCAAAUUUCUGUUGUUUAUGUUUUUUUGUUUUCAGAGACAUGCUCAAACCAUAUUUGCAGUGGGAAAUACAAAAAAAGAUGUGACAUGUUGGGAUGUGAACAAGCUGAGCAGAGGAGAAGAUAAAUCAACAAAUAAGAGAGAGAUGCUGAUAAAUUCUCUGAUUGAAGCCUAUGACCUGGCCUUUGCAGAAAGCAGGUCAUCAUUAUAUAACCAGGAAGUGGCCUGCCAACAUCCUGCAGCUUGUUUAUGGUGACAUCUUGUUGCCAGGGUGAUGGGGUCCUACCAGGCAGUGUCUUCAUUAGAAAUCACACAUGGCUGAAUCUGCCACUCUGCUCAGUCAACCUGCGCUACAUUAUCCACCUGAUUUCACACAAAAUUUGUUGAAACUGCAAUGAGUACAGGUGAUUUCACAUAUGCCAGUAGUGAAGACUCAAAAUCAAGUUCAAAAUCAUGACUUCAUUAACAAAAUACCUGAUAAACCGUUACUGUGUGGAUUUGAAUUAAAAGUAUGGAAUCAAGCAAGUGAUUUGUAAUGUUUCAAUUUGUCUUUGAACAAGCAAAACAACAUAUUUAAUGACAUGGUUUUACUAAAGAAACUUUUUUACUCAAAUCUUCAAGCAGAUGCAAAAGUAAGGAUCAGAUAGAUGUAAUAAAAUUCCAAAUGCAAAAAC